ACGGAAGGCAGCAGUGGGGGAUAUUGCACAAUGGGCGCAAGCCUGAUGCAGCGACGCCGCGUGUGGGAAGACGGUCUUCGGAUUGUAAACCACUGGCUUUGGGGACGAUAAUGACGGUACCCAAGGAGGAAGCUCCGGCUAACUACGUGCCAGCAGCCGCGGUAAUACGUAGGGAGCGAGCGUUGUCCGGAAUUACUGGGUGUAAAGGGAGCGUAGGCGGGGAAACAAGUUGGAUGUCAAAUCUAUCGGCUUAACUGAUAAUCGCAUUCAAAACUGUUUUUCUUGAGUGAAGUAGAGGUUGGCGGAAUUCCUAGUGUAGCGGUGAAAUGCGUAGAUAUUAGGAGGAACACCAGUGGCGAAGGCGGCCAACUGGGCUUUUACUGACGCUGAGGCUCGAAAGCGUGGGUAGCAAACAGGAUUAGAUACCCUGGUA
rnacentral:rRNA from 1 species